AACAAGACAUAUGAAGAAAAAUCAUUGAAGAGAAGUGAACAGUAAAAUAUUAACCAUUGAAUGCACAACAAAGAUUCAAAGAGUGUUCAAAGAUUGAAGUGAGGACAAAACUCAAUAGAAUUAUUUUUUGGUGAGACUUGGAACAAAAAAAUAAUCAGCAACAACUGAACGGGUCUUUUCAGCUAUGAAGAUUAUUAAAACAAGGCUUCGAAACAAGAUG